UGGGGAAUUUUGGACAAUGGGCGCAAGCCUGAUCCAGCCAUGCCGCGUGCGGGAAGAAGGCCUUCGGGUUGUAAACCGCUUUUGUCAGGGAAGAAAUCUCUUGAGCUAAUACCUCGGGGGGAUGACGGUACCUGAAGAAUAAGCACCGGCUAACUACGUGCCAGCAGCCGCGGUAAUACGUAGGGUGCGAGCGUUAAUCGGAAUUACUGGGCGUAAAGCGUGCGCAGGCGGUUGUGCAAGACAGGUGUGAAAUCCCCGGGCUUAACCUGGGAACUGCACUUGUGACUGCACAGCUGGAGUACGGCAGAGGGGGAUGGAAUUCCGCGUGUAGCAGUGAAAUGCGUAGAUAUGCGGAGGAACACCGAUGGCGAAGGCAAUCCCCUGGGCCUGUACUGACGCUCAUGCACGAAAGCGUGGGGAGCAAACAGG
rnacentral:rRNA from 1 species